UGUUGGCUAUUGGGGGCUUGCCUUGCGUUUGAGCUUGGUUGGUGCCUUUUAGUUGCAUGGUCUCGGGAAUGUCUACCGUAAAGGUGCAUGAGUGGUGUUUGGUUUGUUACGGGUGGUUGGCUCUUUGCUUGCGCAACAACUUCCACCUGGCAUACCUCUUCAUUUUUGUGUCAAUGCUCGUAUUGCAUUGAGCGCACUGUGGGUUUCUCGUGUUGGCUGCCUAACUAACGGUAACGUAUGAUUAAUUGAUGACUAUUUUCGUCUGGGAUCGCACAUGCGAUGCGAGACGAACCUUAAAGUGGCCUCUGCCAUCCACCCUCUCAAUUGCACACGCGUUGAUAUGGUGGCUCGCUAAGUGCUGCUUGGUAUCAUCGGUAUGGAACCUUGUUUGGGCAUGGGAUCUGUUAGUAGGUCCUUGAUUGCCCUAGUUAAGCUUCUCAAAUACGAUUUCCUAUCACGUCUUAACGUGGUAGGUUACAUCGAAUAUGAAUG
rnacentral:misc_RNA from 1 species